rnacentral:lncRNA from 1 species
ACAAUUUGAGCAUACCAUACUUAUCACAAGGACUGGCGCAGAAAUUUUGACAAAGUUUUGAGAUAUACCUACAGUUAAAUGCAACAAAGGAAUAUCUUCAAUUUUAUGAAUUUUGAGAAUUGGAAUUCAUCCAAAACCCAUGGAGCGAGGCAACAACUACAUGUAUCUUGUUGUUUUGAUGGAAAUUUACUUAUGUAGCUAUUUCUCUUUCCUCUUCGCGGAAGUAAGUAUCUGCACGAUUGUAAUCACCCUUUUCAUUUUAUUCAUUUUUGCAAAAUUUGAUGCUUUUUUUUGUUUUUGUUUUUCCAGAGUUUAAGGUUAGAUGUUCUGCUGGAGGAAGUUAGAAAUUUUCGGCCAUUAUCUAGAAAAGAAACGUGGAGGCAUCCACAUUUUGUUUGUAUUAUUACAUGUAUCUUCUCUGGAUGGGUAGUAGAUUGUGAAAAACUGUGUUCUUAUUGAUGAAUGAUGAUCAACUUAAACUCUCUUUAAUCCCAAAACUUUGAAUGUAAAGGUAUAUUCGACAAACAUUAGCUGUCUCAUUUUGACAAACAUUAGCUCCUAUUUCAUCUUUAUUUCCACAAAUGCUUUCCCUUUCUAUAUUAUAUUUGAAUGUAAAGGUAUAUUCGACUCAACGCUAUCGUCUUUCUCAUGUACCAUAUUUUGUGUUUGUAAUCUAGAAUACUGUUUGUGGCUUAAACAGGCUGCUCGAGCUUGGUUUGAGAAAUUGUGUUGCUCCGUCAAUUUGCAUAUUUCGGACUCUUGAGUUUGUUUUGCGCAGCUGCGUGUUUGGAACAGAGAGAGUGGAUGGUCGAACUGAGCAGGAAUACAAUGUUUGUAUUGCUGAUGUGGUAUCUCAAUCAAUCAAAAAGUUCGCCUGUGGUUUACCUAUUUCAUCAUAGUUUUUUUAAAAAAGUAUUUUUGUUAGACAUUUUUUUUCCUCAAAAUAAGAGAUAUGACAGACUGUAAAUAAAAAAAAAAUGGUGUAAUGCAUGUCGGAAGCAGACGUCCCUGUAAUUUGCGGUGUGCAAAGUUCUGUCAGAGCUCACAGCUCGGCCUCCGACCCAGCCAAUUUCUUCGAGCCCAAGCAUACAUCCAUCGCCUGCAAUGCUGACACACUACUGGGCCUCAAAUGUCACACCAACGCUAGCGAUAUAUCACCCACAUGCUUGAGCGGAGAGCACUUCUUUCCGCCACAGUGGCCAAAAAUGUCAACUUUGUAAACCGGAGGCCACGCAUUCACGCUGCGACGACUGAUCGCUACGCGCGAACCUCCACGCGCUCGUCCUCACGGGCAUUUUGGUCAUUUCACAGCAGAAUCUUCCCCUGCACCUGCACUUGAUAAACUAUGUAAUUAUAAAACAAGCAUUAGGCAACUUUCCCUUGGUCCGUUUCCUCAAAAACAUUAUCAUGAUUAUUCUUAUAAUAAUAAUAAUAAUAAUAAUAAUAAUAAUUACUAUAAAUUUGCUCAUCAUUAGUAUGCUUUCUCUUGCUUUUGCUAGUAUAUCCCCUUUUCUCAUUCAAUAAAUUAAGCCGAAUCGUAUUUUGUACCUGGUCUUUCAAUUCACUUAUUACCACCCUAGCAGCUAAGCUAGAAUUGAUACUAAAAUAGCUUGAAGUGAAAGGGUCAAACAUACCAACAUGUUGUUAACUUGUUAUUAUUAUUUUUUUCCAAAACGAAGAACGUGUACAUGUCUAUAAUAAUUUACCAUAGAAAGAACGGAGUAGUAGCAGAAGAAUGAAAAAAAUCGCGCAACUUCCACAGUGGAACUCACAAGUCACAACANACGAUGGGGAGCAUUGAAUGUGUGACAUGGGAGGAUGGCUGGACAACUGUGACAGCUGAUGGGGGUAGAGCUGCACAAUUUGAGCAUACCAUACUUAUCACAAGGACUGGCGCAGAAAUUUUGACAAAGUUUUGAGAUAUACCUACAGUUAAAUGCAACAAAGGAAUAUCUUCAAUUUUAUGAAUUUUGAGAAUUGGAAUUCAUCCAAAACCCAUGGAGCGAGGCAACAACUACAUGUAUCUUGUUGUUUUGAUGGAAAUUUACUUAUUAGCUA